AACACAACUUUCAGCAACGGAUGUCUUGGCUCCCACAACGAUGAAGAACGCAGCGAAAUGCGAUACGUAAUGCGAAUUGCAGAAUUCCGCGAGUCAUCAAACCUUUGAACGCACCUUGCGCUUUCGGGAUAUGCCCGUUAGCAUGUUUGUUGGAGUGUCUGUU
rnacentral:rRNA from 1 species